AAUAGAUACCCCGGUAGUCCACGCCGUAAACGAUGGAUGCUAGCCGUUGGCGGGUUUACUCGUCAGUGGCGUAGCUAACGCAUUAAGCAUCCCGCCUGGGGAGUACGGUCGCAAGAUUAAAACUCAAAGGAAUUGACGGGGGGCCCGCACAAGCGGUGGAGCAUGUGGUUCAAUUCGAAGCAACGCGCAGAACCUUACCAACCUUUGACAUGUCCCGUAUGAGCAACAGAGAUGUAGCUCUUCAGUUCGGCUGGCGGGAACACAGGUGCUGCAUGGCUGUCGUCAGCUCGUGUCGUGAGAUGUUGGGUUAAGUCCCGCAACGAGCGCAACCCUCGCCCUUAGUUGCCAUCAUUUAGUUGGGCACUCUAGGGGGACUGCCGGUGAUAAGCCGCGAGGAAGGUGGGGAUGACGUCAAGUCCUCAUGGCCCUUACAGGUUGGGCUACACACGUGCUACAAUGGCGGUGACAAUGGGAAGCAAUGGAGCAAUCCUGCGCAAAUCUCAAAAGCCGUCUC
rnacentral:rRNA from 1 species